UCUUUAGUGAACUGUGUAAGAUGUUGGAUCCAGGAAAGCCUGCGUUUAAGGUGCUGGUAAAACCACAACGUGUACCAAGUAUGCUUAUUAUCAUCAGAAGAAAAGCUACAAACCCGCUCUGGUGUGUGCGGAUACUUUCAGGGCUGGUGCUUUCGAUCAGCUGAAACAGAAUGCCACCAAGGCUAGGAUCCCCUUUUAUGGAAGCUACACGGAAUCCGAUCCUGUGAAAAUUGUUGUUGAGGGAGUUGAUACGUUUAAGAAAGAAAACUGUGAUCUUAUUA